UGUCACGACUGGUAACAGGAGUGAGGACGCAAGUGCUGGGUCCACCACUAUGCUCGAUUUGGGGCUCGAGAACGGACGCCACGCUCGAUUUUUCCCCGGGGUGGUCGCCACCGUGGAGGAGCCCCUUUCCCCGGGAUGGUGGGAGUCGACUCCCAGGACGACCAGAUCCCCGUCAGUUCCCAGGAGGGUGGAGUCUUCAGAGUCGGUACCUGGGAUGGCCACUCCGGUUCUCCCGGCCAUGCCCCGGCUUCCUGCCCUGCCGGUUUCGCCCUGGUUUCCGCCGGCUCCGUCGUGGCCUCCAAGCCCUCCAUCCCUCCCCUGGAUCCACCCUACCAGACUUCCAGUUUGUUUUGUUUUGAGUGUCUGGUAGCCACUCAUUAAGGGGAGGGUAAUGUCACGGUGAAAUCCGUGUCAUGUUUUGUGUCUGUUCCGAUUGUCGUCACCUGGACUCUUGUUAAUUAAUUACCUGCCUCAUCACACCUGUGUAUCGUUAGUCUGUUUGUAUAUAUACCCCUGCCUGUUGUAUGUGCACUUGCCGGAUGAUUGUCGCUGAUGUCAUGUUUGUUUCCAGUGUUCCAGUCAUUGUUCUUACCUGCCCGUGUUGUUCCUCGUGUUUCAUUUCAUGUUAUUUAUAUUAAAUGUUACCCUUUCGUGUGAA